rnacentral:rRNA from 1 species
GUGCCAGCAGCCGCGGUAAUACGUAGGGUGCGAGCGUUGUCCGGAUUUAUUGGGCGUAAAGGGAGCGUAGGCGGCCAUUUAAGUUUGGUCUUAAAGACCGGGGCUCAACCCCGGGACUGGACUGAAUACUGGGUGGCUAGAGGAUGUCAGAGGAAAGUGGAAUUCCGAGUGUAGCGGUGAAAUGCGUAGAUAUUCGGAGGAACACCAGUGGCGAAGGCGACUUUCUGGGACAUUCCUGACGCUGAGGCUCGAAAGCUCGGGGAGCAAACAGGAUUAGAUACCCCGGUAGUCC